UGGGCAAGUUCGACCAGCUUCUUUGUGCCUUC
rnacentral:piRNA from 1 species